UUCUCCGAGCUGUAGCGGCUAAAGCAAUUUGCUACGCUGCUGCGGCCAUGGCCUUAUUGCCAUCGGGCCCGCUGGGAAACCGGUUGACCUUCCGCUUUUGAAAAGGAGAGUUAA
rnacentral:ncRNA from 1 species